rnacentral:piRNA from 1 species
UAGGCUCUUAUAUUCUCACAUACAGGCAC